CUUCUUCAGCUCUGCACAUUAUUAUGACUGUUUGACAUUGCUGGAACUCAAAUGCAAGUCCUGAUAGACUGGUUCUUAGCUGUUAAGCCAUGCCUUGAAUGAUGAAGAGUGCAUUUGACUAGUCCAGGAUAUCCUACGAGAUUUGUGUCAACCGUGCGUCUCUGAAGCAGAAGUUUGAAUCUUCACAAAUCUGAACUAUUUCAUAAGAAUCACAGGAUCCAAGAAUGCAAAUGGCUAAGUGGAAGAAUUCACUAAUAAUCCAGUUUCAAUCCAAAAUGAAGACUUCUCCAGAACUACCUAUCUCAUUU